rnacentral:rRNA from 1 species
AGUGAACGCUGGCGGUAGGCCUAACACAUGCAAGUCGAACGGCAGCACAGUAAGAGCUUGCUCUUACGGGUGGCGAGUGGCGGACGGGUGAGGAAUACAUCGGAAUCUACUUUUUCGUGGGGGAUAAUGUAGGGAAACUUACGCUAAUACCGCAUACGACCUACGGGUGGAAGCAGGGGAUCUUCGGACCUUGCGCGAUUGAAUGAGCCGAUGUCGGAUUAGCUAGUUGGCGGGGUAAAGGCCCACCAAGGCGACGAUCCGUAGCUGGUCUGAGAGGAUGAUCAGCCACACUGGAACUGAGACACGGUCCAGACUCCUACGGGAGGCGGCAGUGGGGAAUAUUGGACAAUGGGCGCAAGCCUGAUCCAGCCAUACCGCGUGGGUGAAGAAGGCCUUCGGGUUGUAAAGCCCUUUUGUUGGGAAAGAAAAGCAGCAGGUUAAUACCCCGCUGUUCUGACGGUACCCAAAGAAUAAGCACCGGCUAACUUCGUG